UACGGGGGGGGCAAGCGUUGUUCGGAAUUACUGGGCGUAAAGGGCUCGUAGGUGGCCAACUAAGUCGGACGUGAAAUCCCUCAGCUUAACUGGGGAACUGCGUCCGAUACUGGAUGGCUUGAGUUUGGGAGAGGGAUGCGGAAUUCCAGGUGUAGCGGUGAAAUGCGUAGAUAUCUGGAGGAACUCCGGUGGCGAAGGCGGCACGCUGGACCCUCUCUGACGCUGAGGCGCGAAAGCCAGGGGAGCGAACGGG
rnacentral:rRNA from 1 species